GAUGAACGCUGGCGGCGUGCCUAAUACAUGCAAGUCGAGCGAACGGACGAUAAGCUUUCUUUUCUGCUGUUAGCGGCUGACGGGCGAGUAACACGUGCAUAGCCUUCCUAUAUUACUUGGAUAAUUUCGUGAGACCGCAGCUACUACCAGAUCAUACUUUGAACCGCUUGGUUCAAAAGUUAUAGACGGUCUUGCCGUCACUUAUAGCUGAUUCCGCACUGCAUUAGCUAGUUGGUAAGGUAAAGGCUUACCAAGGCAACGAUGCAUAGCCGACCUGAGAGGAUGAUCGGCCACACUGGAACUGAGACACGGUCCAGACUCCUACGGGAGGCAGCAGUAGGGAAUAUUCGACAAUGGGCGAAAGCCUGACGGAGCAAAGCCGCGUGAGUGAAGAAGGCAUUCGGAUCGUAAAACUCUGUUGUUAGGAAAGAACAGAAGUGUAAGAAACUGUGGACAUCUUGACGGUACCUAAUCAGAAAGCAACGGCUAACUACGUG
rnacentral:rRNA from 1 species